rnacentral:rRNA from 1 species
UCAGAUUGAACGCUGGCGGCAUGCCUAACACAUGCAAGUCGAACGGAAACGAUGCUAGCUUGCUAGCAGGCGUCGAGUGGCGGACGGGUGAGUAAUGUAUAGGAACUUGCCUAGUAGUGGGGGACAACGUGUGGAAACGCACGCUAAUACCGCAUAAUCUCUACGGAGGAAAGUGGGGGACCUUUCGGGGCCUCAUGCUACUAGAUGGGCCUAUAUCGGAUUAGCUAGUUGGUAGGGUAAAGGCUUACCAAGGCGACGAUCCGUAGCUGGUUUGAGAGAAUGAUCAGCCACACUGGGACUGAGACACGGCCCAGACUCCUACGGGAGGGAGCAGUGGGGAAUAUUGCACAAUGGAGGCAACUCUGAUGCAGCAAUGCCGCGUGUGUGAAGAAGGCCUUAGGGUUGUAAAGCACUUUCAGACGUGAGGAAAAGUAGAUUGUUAAUAGCGAUUUGCCCUGACGUUAACGUCAGAAGAAGGACCGGCUAACUCCGUGCCAGCAGCCGCGGUAAUACGGAGGGUCCAAGCGUUAAUCGGAAUUACUGGGC